AACAUGUCCAGAGACUUGGGUACUAUUGGAUGAGAAUGUUGUUCUACAUUAUGGUAUGCAUAGGUGCUGGGCUCUCUUUGGGAGAGGAGAAUGUGCUGGGUUUCUAUAUGGCUUCAUCUCUUUAAGGCUUACCUUUUGCCAUGGGGGAAAAAAAAGAGUGGAAGAUUUUAGUCUAUGGGUCUUUCAUGGACUCUCAGUUUGGACGUCCUCAUCCACUUUCCUUUUGGUUUGCUCCACCUGAUAGUGUGAAACCGAACAUCUAUGGCUCUUCGUGAGGGAAACUUGGUCCCUGUUCCAUUGGGGGUGU
rnacentral:misc_RNA from 1 species